AAUCAGAAUUUCUCAGUGGUUUAUUCAUAUAUUUCUGAAAUUAUAUGAUACUGCAGUUCUAUUAACUGCUAUUCAGUUUCUACAAUUCCGAUAUUUGUUCUAACAAUAAAACACAUAUAAAAUAACAGAGAACCACAUUUCACAUCACCACCAUUAUCCAGCUAUAGUGCAGCGUCCCAAGUCUCCUCUCUCAUGCUCAUAGAGUCAGAUUCAUUAUCUUCUAACUUUACUCGUAAUCACAAACGCUUGUUGCCUCACCCUUUAUCGCCAAGCCUCACCUUGUGGAAAAAAAAUCAUGAUAAUGCCUGUACAGAAGGUCAGAGUUAACUUUAAAUAUAUGAAUAUUAGUUUGUGUGCCUAUGUUAUGUUGAACCAUCAGAAGACAGAUUAGAAUUAAUUUCAAAAGAAACUCCCAAUUUGAUCCUUGACUUGAAACUGAUAUGUCCAAUUCCAUUUAGGAGGAAUCAGACAAUUAGUACCAAGAACUCCGUCUUGCCACGAGUUUAUCCUCAUUUGAAUACCAGGC
rnacentral:lncRNA from 1 species